UACGAAGGGGGCUAGCGUUGCUCGGAAUUACUGGGCGUAAAGCGUGCGCAGGCGGUUUGUUAAGUCCGCUGUGAAAGCCCCGGGCUCAACCUGGGAAUGGCGGUGGAAACUGGCGAGCUAGAGUGUGUCAGAGGGGGGUGGAAUUCCACGUGUAGCAGUGAAAUGCGUAGAGAUGUGGAGGAACACAAUGGCGAAGGCAGCCCCCUGGGAUAACACUGACGCUCAGGCACGAAAGCGUGGGGAGCAAACAGG
rnacentral:rRNA from 1 species